UGUUGUCUUGAGGCCCAUAAUCCACUGUUGUUGUUGAUGUUUUUUGGUUGUUUUUUUACAUGAAAACUGCUUGAAAUCUAAUGUGGUGUCAACAUUAGAGGAGGCCAUUAAUACUGUAUAUAAAUGAGAGGAGGUGGUAAUAGAGAUACGCAGUGUGUGUGUGUGUGUGUGUGUGUGUGUGUGUAUAAAUGGCACCAGGACCCAGAAUACUGACAGCUUCCUCUCCAAAGCAACUACAGGUCAUUUAGUUAGCGAGUGCCGUGUGUUCCCAUUCACUUCAGCAUGCAUGGCAACCCUCAACAAAGGAGCGGUGCAUCAAGAAAUCCAGUGUCACAGUGGGGGCAAAAGGCAUUCAGGAGAGAAUAAGUUAAAAAGGAAUAUUCAAACCUGUCACUCACUGAGCCGCCAACACUCUCUCUCAUUCUUUCUCUCCCAAAAUUUUCCCAUCGUCGGAUAUAAUUCAGGUGAAGGUAAGCCUGCAGUAUGAAUAAACAGAAAGGGGCUGAGCUUUGAAGAGGAUUUUUUUUUUUAGAAUUCAUUACUUUCAUGUGCUGAGAGUUAAGGGUAGUCUUUAGAGGUCGGCUGAGUGUUAGUGACUGACUGAAAGGCAAGGAAACUUAAACUGUGUCACAACACACCUAGAACGACCGUAUAAAACCAAUAGAGUUCUCUAACCGUGCAAAAAAUGUGACAAAAAAAACGUAACUUUAUUUUUUACCUAACAACACUGACUUAGUGAUUUAUGGGGCACAUAGCCACAUUUGCCCCUCAGGUGACACCAACACCCCCAUUCACACCUUUUCUGACCUUCAUGUUUUAUUAAUCAAUGACCCUUGUUUCAGGUAUUCAGUCACCCUGAGGUUUAAUUAAACCAUCAUUUUUCAGCAGUCAGUUAGAACUGAAGAAGCCUCGUGGAUAAAAGGUCAAAAGACACUAUGACAGUCCAGUUGCCCUUUACUGACCUGCUGUGGAUGUUAAUAGGAGGUACAUCUGGACUGCAGGCUGGCCAGUCAUGCUCUUGCCCCAAAAGACAGUACAAAACAGGGUUCAACUGCUAAUCUUAGCUAACAAAAACUGAGCCUAUAACAGAUCAGCUCGAUCUCGAUCUUGAUAUUCAAAGCUGUCUCUAAUUAACCUGUUUACUGAUGCAGUAUGACAGUUGUCUGAUUGUGAGAAAGGGUUGCUUUCUCUUAUGUCUCUGCUUCUCUGUGACUCCUGGUGAAAAAAGAGAAGAGGAGAAGGGAGUGAGGAGAUAAUCCAGGAUAUGUUGCAUGGCAACCUGAGCCUAGCGAAAGGCUCUGAUACUUCCAGCACAGGAAGCUACAGCUAAACCAUCUUCUUCUUCAGCAAUGACAGGCAGGAAGAUCUCGUUGGGAUGUUGGUUGAUGUGAAUUGAUGUACGCUGCAGGAGCUGGACUGACGAGCACUCUGACUGUCGUCUCCAUUGAGAUUCAAUAGUGUUUUACGCACUUCGGUCCACUUCGGUCCAAGACCGGCAAGAUUUUUUUUCUUCUAUCACCAUCAGUCUCAGUAGUCUGUAACUACACUCAAUAGGUCCCUUUUUUUAUUAUGUAGAUUAUUUUGUUGGAAAUGGAGGAGCUGGAUUUUGUUGUCGGGUCUAUAGCAGGGCUACUCAAAGUAAAGGGUCAAUUUUCCUUUUACAAAAAUAACAACAGAAAUACUUAAUAAAAUAAGAUACUGGUCUAAUGUUAGAGUCCCUAAAACCUAAUGUCUGUGGGUGAUGUAACAUAGUAUUUGCUUAUAAACAUAGUGUCCAUACAUGUAUGUAUAUAUAUGUACAUAUUUGUAUGUAAAUAUAUAUCCAAAAGAUGUGUAAAUCUAUGUAUAUAUAUGUACAUGUAUAAAUAUAUAAUUUCAUAUGUAUGUAUACAUAGAAAGAUAUAUAUUUAAGCAUCUUUUGGAUACACUUGUAUAUCCAUAUAUAUGUACAUAUAUUUAUAUAAUUUUGGGAAAAUAACCAUGUCAGUUAAUCAUGACUCACCUUCUGUGGCCAUCCUCCAAUAUUUAUACUCAGUCUGGGCCUUUGCAGAGAGGGAAAUGUCUGACAUUUCCCGUGGCUUUCAGUUAGAUGAAUAAUCUGAUGAUCAGGUGGUCUGGGGUGAGCGAUGUGUGGCCUUGAAAAGAGAAAAACAAUGCAGCUGAAUAUUAAAUGCGCUUGUGUGUUUCAUGGCCUGUCAAACCUGGGUGUGGCUUGUGGUGCAGAGAAGACAGACAGCCUCAUUUCCUGGGCGACGUGUGGAUGACUGCGCGUGUGCUGUAUGUAUAGACAGGCCGUGUCUGCGUAAAACACACACACACAUGCACACCGAGACACGCAUGCACGUGCACAGGCAGUCAAGCCUGUGAUCAUUUGAAUUCUUCCCAGUGGUGGUUCCUGUAGACAUCUCCAUCAUGCUGUCAGAAGAAAUGAACACAGUACAUUGAGACACAAAGAAGGAAAAACGUAGCUCUUUUUUUCCACUCACAUUCAGCAUCAUGUAGGUCAAACGCACGCUUUACUCAACACGGUCCAAACAAGUGAAAUGAGCCAAGGAGGAACUUAUCCAUUGCAUGGUGAAAAAAUACAUUUAUUGGAAUCUGUGUCAAUGUAGAAAAAUGUGAAAUCUAGCUUUUAGGUUUUGUCACAGUACCACAGGUGAAUAUUCCAGCAGCCGCCUGGUGAGCCAAAACCAAGCCAGCAAGCCUGUUCGGGGCAGUUUUUCUGCAACUGAUGACAAAAGGACGGGUGGCUCACAGUGGCCAAUGACACCACAUACAUCUCUCACAGACACUGAAAAGCUCAGGCUGCAUAUAAGAUAUACUGGCAAACACACACAUUGCACAGCAAUUAGCCUAGACCAACAUUUUCUAAUUUCACACAGCUUUUGUGGGAGGAACUGACUUCAAGUGUUCAUUGUGAUACUGUCACAAAGUCCCAUUCAUUGCCUAUUAAGCCAGGGUGAAUAAUUACAGGACCGUAGGUGGCUCAGAGGAACACAUACUUUAUGAUUAAUUGUUCAUCGCUGUUUGAGGUCCACUAACCUGGGCUCUGGGCAAGGUGGAUACACAAAACCUGUCUCUAGUAAAGUUGGUACAGUCACUAUAAAUGCAACAAAUAAAAUCUGGUUAUUUGUUAUAUUUUAUCACUAUAUCUCAUGGUAGUAUUUUAUAAAAGAUUACUCACGAGGGAGGCAUAGAGUUGAGUUUUGUUUUUGUCCCUUCAUUGAGAUGGCAGGGGCAACAGUGGCCCACAGGUCAUUUGAAUUUGAGUCCCCUGGUUAUAUGGUCUGAUAAAUAACAGAACAAAUGCAUCAUCUAUUGAAAUACUUUGUUUUUUAUUGUAUUUUCAGGGAAUGUACCAACUUUUGUGGAAACAAGUGUUUUCAACACCACUGGCCACAAGUUCGAAGCACUGAGACUCAUCCAUCACACUGAUGUCUAAGAGUCCAAUUUCCAUUACAAAGAUCUUGUCAUAAUGAAAGGUGGUUUGAUAUUUUACCUUGACGCCCAGGAAUCAAUCGAAAAUUUGAACAAAUACUUUCCAAUGACCCUACAGUGUGUGGGGCAAACAGCGUCCUGAUCAGGUCCAAUGCUAAUGUGUGUAGUGCAUCCUUGAUAUGCCAGUAUAGUCUCACAACACAUGGCAACUCUGCAUAUUUUAGAACUAAAAUUGCAACAGAAAAAGGCAUUUAAAAACAGAAACAUUUCUGAACUCAGAUACUGAGCAUUAACACUGAGAGGUCAGUUUUUCUUUUUCUUACCCAUACAGCUUUCAUUAUAUAUAGACCUAUUUUUAUUAUUAAAUAUCUUAAAUCUCAUAUAAAAGAAUUAAUCAUAAAACAAUUCUAUUUACACACACAAGAGUGCACGAGUCGGACAUGAGGUUGCAUGCUGAGGUGGUUUAUCUAAAUAACGUUCUGCUGUGAUUUAGCUGUAUAAAUGCUGCUUUGCUGUACGUCACUCGGUCGUACAUCUUCGUCUGUCUAAAGUCGGAGUUUGUGAUGCAUUGUACAACAGAUUUUUGUUAGGAGUACUAACUCUUGAUAAUACCAUUAGCAAACAAAGGUGCUGCCAAACAGAAAUAAAUAUGAAGGUAAAAUAAAAAAUCUCCUUUUCUUGGCCACUCUUGGCAAACUAUCAAACUGUAAGAUCUUUACUUUGUUCAAACAAAGGAUCUGACAAUGGUGAUCAGGUCAAAUAAUAUGUGAAUGAGCAGGCAUUCAUUUACAUUACAAAAUUAUAGCACAUAGCUAAGAUCGAGACAUGCAAACUUUGGGGCUUUUAUGCAACAAACUUGAGAAACAAAAUAGAAGGUUUGUUCCUUUAUGGCCGCGGUCUAUGAGGAUGAUGUUUUCCUAGUUUUUAUUUAAGGGGAAAUAACAGGACACCAGUGGCAGGGUGGCUUCCCUAACAUUUAAGCAGCAUGUCGAAUCAUUGACUGUACAAACACAACUAUGCUCUUUUUUUUCUUUUUGUUUUUGUAAAAAAAAGACGUUUGACAUUACAAACAA